GACGAACCGCCCAAACGUUAUUCGGAAUUACUGGGCUUAAAGGGUGCGUAGGCGGCCCAGCAAGUCAGGUGUGAAAUCCCACGGCUCAACCGUGGAACUGCGCUUGAAACUGCUGGGCUUGAGGGAGAUAGAGGUAAGCGGAACUGAUGGUGGAGCGGUGAAAUGCAUUGAUAUCAUCAGGAACACCGGUGGCGAAGGCGGCUUACUGGGUCUCUUCUGACGCUGAGGCACGAAAGCUAGGGGAGCGAACGGGAUUAGAUACCCCUGUA
rnacentral:rRNA from 1 species